rnacentral:rRNA from 1 species
UACGUAGGGGGCAAGCGUUAUCCGGAUUUACUGGGUGUAAAGGGAGCGUAGACGGAGGUGCAAGUCAGCGGUCAAAUUGCGGGGCUCAACCCCGUACUGCCGUUGAAACUGCAUCCCUUGAGUGCGCGAGAAGUAUGCGGAAUGCGUGGUGUAGCGGUGAAAUGCAUAGAUAUCACGCAGAACCCCGAUUGCGAAGGCAGCAUACCGGUGCACAACUGACGCUCAGGCACGAAAGCGUGGGUAUCGAACAGG